rnacentral:rRNA from 1 species
UGAUCCUGGCUCAGGACGAACGCUGGCGGCGUGCUUAACACAUGCAAGUCGAGCGGAAAGGCCCUUCGGGGUACUCGAGCGGCGAACGGGUGAGUAACACGUGAGUAAUCUGCCCUGCGCUCUGGGAUAGCCACCGGAAACGGUGAUUAAUACCGGAUAGGACCACUUCACGCAUGUGAUGGUGGUGGAAAGUUUUUUCGGCGCAGGAUGUGCUCGCGGCCUAUCAGCUUGUUGGUGAGGUAAUGGCUCACCAAGGCUUUGACGGGUAGCCGGCCUGAGAGGGUGACCGGUCACACUGGGACUGAGACACGGCCCAGACUCCUACGGGAGGCAGCAGUGGGGAAUAUUGGACAAUGGGCGGAAGCCUGAUCCAGCAACGCCGCGUGAGGGAUGACGGCCUUCGGGUUGUAAACCUCUUUCAGUAGGGACGAAGCGCAAGUGACGGUACCUACAGAAGAAGGACCGGCCAACUACGUGCCAGCAGCCGCGGUAAUACGUAGGGUCCGAGCGUUGUCCGGAAUUAUUGGGCGUAAAGGGCUCGUAGGCGGUUUGUCGCGUCGGGAGUGAAAACACUGGGCUUAACUCAGUGCUUGCUUUCGAUACGGGCAGACUAGAGGUAUGCAGGGGAGAAUGGAAUCGUGUACGGUGAAAUGCGCAGAUAUCAGGAGGAACACCGGGCGAAGGCGGUCGGGCAUUACCACGGGAGAAAG